rnacentral:rRNA from 1 species
UACGGGGGGAGCAAGCGUUGUUCGGAAUUACUGGGCUUAAAGAGUCCGUAGGCGGCGCGGAAAGUGGGGUGUGAAAGCCCUCGGCUCAACCGAGGAAUUGCGCUCCAAACUACCGUGCUUGAGGAACCUAGAGGUGAGCAGAACUGAUGGUGGAGCGGUGAAAUGCGUUGAUAUCAUCAGGAAUACCGGAGGCGAAGGCGGCUCACUGGGGGUUUUCUGACGCUGAGGGACGAAAGCCAGGGUAGCGAACGGG